AGUGAACGCUGGCGGUAGGCCUAACACAUGCAAGUCGAACGGCAGCACAGGAGAGCUUGCUCUCUGGGUGGCGAGUGGCGGACGGGUGAGGAAUACAUCGGAAUCUACUUUUUCGCGGGGGAUAACGUAGGGAAACUUACGCUAAUACCGCAUACGACCUACGGGUGAAAGCAGGGGAUCUUCGGACCUUGCGCGAUUGAAUGAGCCGAUGUCGGAUUAGCUAGUUGGCGGGGUAAAGGCCCACCAAGGCGACGAUGCGUAGCUGGUCUGUGAGGAUGAUCAGCCACACGUGAACUGAGACACGGUCCAGACUCCUUAGGGAGGCAACAGUGGGAAUAUUGUACAAUGGGCGGAAGCCUGAUCCAGCCAUACCGCGUGGGGGAAGAAGGCCUUCGGGUUGUAAAGCCCUUUUGUUGGGAAAAAAAUCCAGCUGGUUAAUACCCGGUUGGGAUGACGGUACCCAAAGAAUAAGCACCGGCUAACUUCGUGCCAGCCGCCGCAGUAA
rnacentral:rRNA from 1 species